UGGACCUAAAGAGAUAUUCUUCUAAAAAACUUUCUUUGUGUUCUGCAGAAGAAAGAAUGUCUUACACAUCUGGGACAGCAUGAGGCAUGUGUCCUGUAUGAACGGCUCCUCGCUCUGUGCUGCCUGCUCAUGUUGCAAAACAGAUCAGUGCCCAGGCAGCUGUGGACAAACCUGUAUGAGUGAUGGAUGGGAACCUGCCAGGUGAAUUAUUUAAGAGAGGAAGGAGGAGGGGGAAGUCAACAUCAGUCUGAAUCCUACCAGAGGCCCUGCC